CCCGGGGCCCCAGAACCGGCCCCGCCCUAGAGGCUGCGCCCGCCCUGCCCGAACCCGGUUUGUCUGGUUCUCCUCGAGAGGCUUGUUUCUCGAAUUUCUCCCUUUCCCCCUCUUCCUGGACCUCCGGGGCCCUCCCUCUCGGCCCGGCUUCCCGGGGGCCCCCACAGGGGGCGUCUCGACACCGCGAGCCCGCCGAGUUUCGUUCUACAAUGGCAGGCCUUUGACCUCACUGGAAAGAGAAGAAUAGAAAUGCUUGACUUACAUUUCCUACUCCUGAAAGACAAUCAUCUUGAUGGGGUUAGGAGUGGGACACUGGAGCCAGACUACCUGGGUUCUAACCCCAGCUCUGCCUUUCACAAGCUACGACAGGGGAUGAGAUGGUUGGACGACAUCACUGACUCAAUGGACCUGAGUUUAAGCAA